AACGAACGCUGGCGGCAGGCUUAACACAUGCAAGUCGAGCGCCUCGCAAGAGGAGCGGCAGACGGGUGAGUAACGCGUGGGAAUCUACCGUACCCUACGGAAUAGCUCUGGGAAACUGGAAGUAAUACCGUAUACGCCCUUUGGUGGAAAGAUUUAUCGGGGUAUGAUGAGCCCGCGUUGGAUUAACUAGUUGGUGGGGUAAAGGACUACCAAGGCGACGAUCCAUAGCUGGUCUGAGAGGAUGAUCAGCCACAUUGGGACUGAGACACGGCCCAAACUCCUACGGGAGGCAGCAGUGGGGAGUAUUGGACAAUGGGCGCAAGCCUGAUCCAGCCAUGCCGCGUGAGUGAUGAAGGUCUUAGGAUUGUAAAGCUCUUUCACCGAUGAAGAUAAUGACGGUAGUCGGAGAAGAAGCCCCGGCUAACUUCGUGCCAGCCGCCGCCGUAA
rnacentral:rRNA from 1 species